ACUCACUUUUGAGCGGUUUGGUGGCAAGUUUGCGGCGAAUGAGCUCGUCGCGUCCAGCAAAACAAGUGAACGAGUGGCAAGUUUGUUGGCUUCGCUCCUGGCGGCGGUUCACCUUCUCUGAAAAAGGGCCCCGGUUUUUGGGUUUUUUUACGUCGUUGUUGUGACGUUACAUGUACAUACAUACCACUUAUGCAAUCCACGAACGACCUUGGCUAUCUUCUUCUUCGGCCAGAAUUGCAAAAGCCCAAUGGGCCGCUCACCCAUUCACUGCGCUUCUCUUAUUUUUUUUUAGAUCAUUUAAUGGCUUCAUUUGACCGUAAUUGCAAUCGCAAUCCCAUUAAAAUUCCCAAGUCUUUUUUAAUUAGGGCUGCUACUGCUUUUCUUUGCACAAGUAACUAACAAUCCAACUGGAGCAAAGUUCACCGCUAAUAGAUCAAAUGGGCCAUGGAGAGAUAGACAUUUUUGCAGCUGCUCAAGGCGAAAUUAAAUGCCUUAAUUACUAUAAUUGCUAUGCCAAAGAAUGCUUUUGGUGGCUGAGUGAUGGACAGACAGGCAGCCCAGCCGCAAAAUCAAUAAACAUGUCUAUAUUAAAAUUUUGUUGUUUGUCUAUUGCACAAUUUCAAUGUCAUCCAAGAAGAAAAAAAAAAAAAAUCGAAAAAAUUAACAACCCGGCGUUAAGGGCGUGACUAAGGGCGUUUGACGUGUGUUAGGGAAAAACGAAGCCACAAGAAAGAAACAAGAAAAUAUCCAAACAGACUAAACUGUCCACUUUUGCGCAAUGCUGACAUUGAAAAUGCACAGCCAACUUGGCGAUGUGGGUGUUUCUGGCCAAAAGAGUGCCAUCGAAUCGGGUGUUGUAACAAAUCGCGUUCGAAUAUCUUAAGCAGGUGGUCAAUGGUCAAUGGACAGCAGUACAAUAGCAAGUUGGGUUUCAAUUUUUUGGGAGCUUUAAAUUUUUUCUUUUGCUAUUAAACGGCAAUUAACUGGCAAGGUCGCCUGCUACACAUUAAAAUAUCUGCCCGUCAUGCAUUCCUGGGAUCUAAAACAGUAACUUAUCAAGCUAACAAAUCGCUAUUUAAUAGGCCUGUGUGAUUUUUUCCUUACAGAUUACUCAUUCGCCAGGUGGAACGAGCAGUCGGAUUUAAUGAAUCGCAUAAAACCGAUUUCGCGGCUGACUGAUGGGCCUGUAAACAUCCUCGUAGUCGCUGCAAUGGAUAUUACUGUAGUGUACAUAACAAGCAAUUCAGACUUGUUUCUGGGGAUAUCAAGAAAUAAAUAAACGAAGUGCGUCGCUGUCGCACUUGACAUCGUUUUUGGAACAUACGACGCGCAACGUGCUAAUGAGCCCUGAAAACUCUGUUCCUCAGCCCUCAUUCAUCAUUAAAUUGGGAUAUGUGGCAAUAGUUUUAUAACGGUUAUGAUUCACUCUGCUCAUCCACAUCUUCUUUCCAUUUCCAGUUUCUUUUUUCGGCCAGUCAUGCUGUGCAAGCAACAACAACACCUUGGACAAGUUUGUUGACUUCGGCUUGGAAAAACGAGAACAACAACAAAUGGUAACUGCGAAAAUAGCAAUAAAGUUAUUAAAGAAAUUGGUUGACAAACGUUUUUGGGUUUUGCCAUUGCAUCAAUACUACACUCGACAGCUUCACUUACAAUUUCGCUCUUUUGUCUUGCGAUGUGCACAUUUCAAAUCCACAUUUAUAGCCCUCCAUUCCCAGUCUUAGUCCCCAUUCAUUUCAGUUUAGUGUCUUCUUUCCCUCCAUUUUUCGGUUUAUCUCUCUGUUUUUACGCUGCUGUGAAAAUGGGCACAAGGUCGUCGGUUUUGAGAGGAGGAAGUUUGCUGGGAAGCUGGCGGAGCAAAGGGGCCAAAUUCCAGACGGACUGCAGAAGCUUCAGCCUGGCUUUAAAUUAAUUGCAUCCAGCCACGAGACGACGGUGGCGGCAAACUAAAGUCCAUAAAACGGAUUGCACUUAACGAUAAAAUUUCCCUUUCGCUCGAAACUCGUUUUUCUUCGCUCACUCAGACUGUGUCCUAAUCCCCUGUGAAUCACAGGAGAUUUAAUACAAGAAAGAGGCAUCUAAAAAUACUGUUGAAGAAGAGACCUUAGCGCUAAAAUUAAAAGUAACUCUUUGAGCGAGUAAUUGAAUUGUAUCUUCCUGUUCCUGUUCAACUAAAGACAACAAUUGACCUCAAGUAAAUUGAAACUUUAUAUGCCAUCAGAUCAAUUAAGUUUCAUUAACCUUUAUAAGGUCGUUGUAUUUAAAUCUUUCCAAGAUAUUCAAGAUUUUUCUCCAAUUUUGCUCACUGCAGCUCAAAGCAAUGGAGUGAAAAGCUCGAGCUGCCGCCAAGCUUUUCAGCACUCAAAGUAGUUUCUUUCGCGGCUUGCCAAAUAUUAUGCAAUUUGUACAACUCUGAGCUAAGGCUCGACUAGUUUGGCAUAUUUUCGAGUGGACACAUGCAAAAGAGCUGCUAAUGUAACAGAUAAAUUAAUUACAAUUAGGGAUUGUAGCUGGUUCAUAAACAAAGAUCUACGAAAUGGCAAACGCAAACGGCCCAUUGGUUUUGCUGUAAUUACUUGGUUCACUUCGAAUCACAGAGUAGAAGCUGAAUAGUAUAGUGAAUCUGGCUUGACUCGUCUUCAGCUGGAAUAAUUUGUGAAGAUUUUGGCCAAAGCUAUCAAAAAAAGAAAACAUAAUACACGCCCCAAAUGUGUCAAGGUCUUUUGUAAACCAGCAAAUUAGCAAAAGAAACAAGCCACAUAAAAUUAAAUCAAAUGGAAACCGAAAGCUGGUCGAGCGAUUUGGGACUGAGCUCUAUUUUUCGGAUAUACAUAUAUCUAUAAUUAUCGGGGGGAAAACUUUUUUGGCACACAAUGCAAGGCAUUUGAGUCAGAUUUUUGCCAAGUUGAUUGGUCGCGUUGUGCAACUUUUUGUCUGUUUGACCACAUUUUGUGGCAAUUAGCAGACUGGCCAAAUUGUUGUUAAUAAUAUGAGCAAAUACGCUGAAAUAGUUGCUCUAAGACAAUGCAUAUGGCUUCUUGCAGUGAAAGUACCUUCAAUAUAUUUACAAAAUUUCACAAAAAAAAAAACCGACCAUAACAACGUCAUUGUUUCGUGGAAAAGACCGUCGCACAAAAGGCCUAAGAACAGCCGACAAUUUAUGCGACAGUCUUUAUUCAGGACAAUUAUAUUAAGCCUACGUGAUAUGGAUGGUUGACAUUAAAAUUUAGCUCACACUUUUUAAUUCCAAACUGUGUUCUUCAGUUUAUCAAAAGGUGGUAGGUUACUCAGAAAUGCUGAAGCCAGUGACACUUGCACAUCACGGAAAUAAACCUUCAAUUGUUAAAGUUCUUAUGACACGCGUGUGCUCUUUUUUUCAGAUUUCUUUUUUUUUUUAUUAAGAUGAGUGGUGAUUUCCUUUAAGAUCUGUGGCCUUACAGGCCAAACGACUGUCUCCACAAUGAGUGGGAUAGAAAUUAAGCAUAAUCUACCUUAAUGGCUAAAAAACAAAGUUCCACAUAGCUUGUAGACGGUCUGUCUGAAAAUGUACGUAUAGAACAUGGCUUAAAUAGUUACUAAUGUUCUACAAAAGAUAGUUUCAAAUAGAUUUGCUCUACGACCUUUGAAGCCUAUUACUGGAGAUCAACGAGUCUGUACAUUCUCAGAGCCAGUAGCUAUAAUCGUGUGACUGAGCAAUCAAAUGGUUAUUGAGCUUACGUUUUUUGUCUCGGCUAAUGUCAUUUAUUAGACAACGCUGACGACUUUAAAUUGCUUUGAAGCUUUUACUUUGAGCUUGAGUUUUAUAUCAUUUUGCUACGCCAAUUCAAUGAAAAGCUUAAGUAAAAGCGGGCUUUGCCGAGCUAAGCCAAGUUCAAAAUAAAACGAUAAAAACGUGGUAGCUAUACGAUUCAUCAAAGCUCAUAUCAAAGCUUUUUACACUAUGCAACACAUUUCGGGUUUUAGGUUUAAAAACUCAAGACACAUAUUUGCUAAGUAUAUACAACUUAAUAUGGAUUUUACGUUAUUCAUUAAGGAUCCUAAAUUUCGUGUAAGCAAUAAAUUUCCUUUAAGCCUUCUUAAGUUAGCGAUAAAAAAUAAUUUUAAUUGCGCCAUAAAAUAACUGCGCAGAUUAGCAGAUAGCUAUCAUUUAUUGCAUAUGGUUUUCGGAAUUCCAAUUGUACAGUCAGCCAUUAGAAUUUUAAUUUGAACGCGUGCUUAAACUGUUUUAAACGGCUUCGUCUGUGUGAGGGCGUGCUUGGGUUGCAAAUCAUCACCCAUAAUCGUUCAUAACAACAAUUAACGACACGCCAGGAGCGAUAGGUAUAAGUAAGACAUGUUGACAGACAAAAAAGGCAGACAGAAAUCGGAGUAAUUUCCCAAUACUUCGAUGCCACUCACAUCUGAACUAGUUCAUGCGGAAGUGACGUAGCUGAUUGUAAGGUGGAUGUUGUAUAAUGAAGGCCAGCACAAGAGAAACACCGUUAAAGGCAACAAACAAACUCAUUUCGACCAUCGAUACGGCGGUUAUAGACCCGACCUAAAGCCGCAUUCGAAUGCUAAUGAUAUGAUUAUGUUUGAAAUAUAUUGUGGUACAUGGGUGUUGGCAUAAAAAGGGGUGCUAGUAUACAAAGUGCAAAUUAAUUUACAGAUAUUAUCAAAGGAAAGUUCUUCGUAGAGCACUUAUAAGUUCAUAUUAUAAAUUUGUACCCUAAAUUGAUAUACUUCUGUUGCUACGCCCUUGCUUGGGAUCGCAUGUGCUGCCAAUAUUAUGUCAUUCAAAAAGCGAACCAAAGAAGAAAACCAGCAUAAAUGAAUGACCAAUUUUAUUUGCAUAAAGCCGAUACUUUCGCAGCGAAACACACCUCCCUUGUACCUGAAGUUGCGUGGAAUUAUGGUAAAAUAAUUUUUCACACAUUGUGCGAAAUCGACCGAUUGCCGGAUGUGUCACAAUCCACUCAGCUGCAAAAAUCUCCCGGCUGACGCUGAUUGCGGCGAUGAUGGACGUUAAUUUGUACGAAAACUCAUUUGUUUGCCAUUAUUUGUGCGGAUUUGUGAGGGAAAUUAUUGAAAUUUGCAAUUAGUUAUAUUAAAUGCUAAGUGCUGAAAGCCAGCCAGCCGUUGCCGAGCGAGGCUAAGCAGUCUCUUUACUAGAAACCAUCGCCCUAUAGCUAAAGCGACCCUGGGUUCUAUUUUUAAGCCUUCAGCUUGGCGUUCAGUAGCUCAUCGCAGAGUGUGCCAUAAGUUGCUACGAAUUUGUUACCUUACUACGUAUUUAUAUAAUUGCGAAUUUCACUCGUCACUUUGCAAAGUGGCUGAAGUUGCUAAAGUUGCUUAGCUGAAUAAAUGUGAAUAAAUGCAAUUAAAGCCCAACGCUUAAUAAGCAUGACGUGGAAUUUGCGCAGACUAUUACGAAUUGCAAAAUUGGGAAUUUGCCAGGCGGCGACAAGCUGGGCUCACGGAUUCCUGACUUCGACUCCGACUCCGAUAAUGAUCAGCUCCCCAGUGAGUUGUCUAUAUUUUCAUUUCACCCAGCCAGCCAUUAUGCCAGCCUUGUGCAAUGCACCCAACUCCAGAUGUCGAGGGUGGCUAUCGAGGUGUCAUUCACGUUUGGAUCUCAAAUAAAUACUUCACAGCUCGCCCAGUAAUGAAUGUGAUUAUAUGCGGUUUCUUUCACUCGGCUUAUUUGAAUAUUCAUUGAUCGGCGAAUCGAACUGAUAAAUAUGUUUUUCGAUCUGGCGUUCCAAAAAUAAAUGACAUAAAACACGUGCCCGACUGUUAUACAAUGUCUAAGUUUAAGCUUUUGCUUUGCAAUAAAUAACAAAUCUAUUUGAUUGAAACGAAAA